rnacentral:rRNA from 1 species
AUUGAACGCUGGCGGCAUGCCUUACACAUGCAAGUCGAACGGUAACAGGUCUUCGGAUGCUGACGAGUGGCGAACGGGUGAGUAAUACAUCGGAACGUGCCCAGUAAUGGGGGAUAGCUCGGCGAAAGCCGGAUUAAUACCGCAUACGCCCUGAGGGGGAAAGUGGGGGAUCGCAAGACCUCACGUUAUUGGAGCGGCCGAUGGCUGAUUAGCUAGUUGGUAGGGUAAAGGCCUACCAAGGCGACGAUCAGUAGCUGGUCUGAGAGGACGAUCAGCCACACUGGGACUGAGACACGGCCCAGACUCCUACGGGAGGCAGCAGUGGGGAAUUUUGGACAAUGGGGGAAACCCUGAUCCAGCAAUGCCGCGUGUGCGAAGAAGGCCUUCGGGUUGUAAAGCACUUUUGUCAGGGAAGAAAUCCUUUGGGCUAAUACCCUAGGGGGAUGACGGUACCUGAAGAAUAAGCACCGGCUAACUACGUGCCAGCAGCCGCGGUAAUACGUAGGGCGCAAGCGUUAAUCGGAAUUACUGGGCGUAAAGCGUGCGCAGGCGGUUGUGUAAGACAGGUGUGAAAUCCCCGGGCUUAACCUGGGAAUUGCAUUUGUGACUGCACGACUAGAGUGUGUCAGAGGGGGGUGGAAUUCCACGUGUAGCAGUGAAAUGCGUAGAUAUGUGGAGGAACACCAAUGGCGAAGGCAGCCCCCUGGGAUAACACUGACGCUCAUGCACGAA